AAAAAAAAAAAAAAAAAUCUAGACAUAUUCACAUGGAUACAAACUGUAAUCAAGAAACGAGAUUCAAUUUUCGGCAAAUCGCAAGAACUACAUUAAGAACAGAGAGAAAAAAGAGGAAUUUUACAAAAGGAAAAAAAAAUGAAAAACUUUACAAUGAAGAUAACAUUAUCGAGUUUGAUGAUUUUGAUCACUCAAAAUGCAGACGAAAGUGAUGCUGAUAUGUAGCGAUGGAAGAAGAAGAGGAACCAUAAACAUAAACGUGAUCACGAUCGUCUUCCGCAGUUUCAGGAUAGAGCAAACCUGGAGAAGGAAGACAUAGACAAGUCAAGAGACAUAAAGCCAAUCGACCUAAUUGCUGGAGCGGAAAGAAGCAGACUAGCUCAAGCAUCUCUCGGCUGCUUAUACGAUCGGACGGUGGGAUCAAUCGUAAACGCUGCCAAAUCUCAGCCGACAAAUGGGCUACAGACAUAACCGUCUGGCCGUUGAACACCAUGUUCAUACACACACAGAAAAAAAAACUGUAACUGAAUGAUGAUUCCGUGAUUUUCG